rnacentral:rRNA from 1 species
AGGACGAACGCUGGCGGCGUGCUUAACACAUGCAAGUCGAGCGAGACUUCGGUCUAGCGGCGAACGGGUGAGUAACACGUGGGCAACCUGCCCCGAGCUCUGGGAUAACUCCGGGAAACCGGGGCUAAUACCGGAUACGACCCGAGAAGACAUCUUCUCGGGUGGAAAGUUUUUCGGCUCGGGAUGGGCCCGCGGCCUAUCAGCUUGUUGGUGGGGUAACGGCCUACCAAGGCGACGACGGGUAGCCGGCCUGAGAGGGCGACCGGCCACACUGGGACUGAGACACGGCCCAGACUCCUACGGGAGGCAGCAGUGGGGAAUAUUGCGCAAUGGGCGAAAGCCUGACGCAGCGACGCCGCGUGAGGGAUGAAGGCCUUCGGGUUGUAAACCUCUUUCAGCAGGGACGAAGCGAAAGUGACGGUACCUGCAGAAGAAGCACCGGCCAACUACGUGCCAGCAGCCGC